rnacentral:snoRNA from 1 species
ACUGCACUGAGUCUGGGUGACAGAGUGAGCCUCCGACUCAAAAAAAAAGAAAAAAGAUUGAAGUUCUCUAUGGGAUGCCAUACUACUCAGUAGUGUUAUGUUUUCCAGAGGUGAUAUACAA